GGCCUCAGGCAGCCAGGCUCUCCCUCUUCCUCCCCAGGACACAGGAACAGCAAAGUCCUCAGCCAGGGACCUGGUGAACAGGCCUGAGACACGUCCAGCGCCCGGGGGGGCAGGCCCUCGGCAUCCCCUGCUCUCAGCACAGCACACAGCUCCCCCUGCCCAGUGGAGGUCCACAGUGCAGGUCCCACGGAGCAGCCCAGGGGAUCUAUGGUGCUUUGGUACCUCGAGAAGAGGGUUGGAGUCACCGCUGCCACCACACCAGGCCAGAAAGAG
rnacentral:lncRNA from 1 species